AGGAAACGGAACCUGAACCUCCUCCUCUCUCUCUGUUAACAGAUGUAGGGACUACUUAGACAUGUUUGUACGGUGAUUGGAAGAAAAACGAAAUAAAAACAAGUAUUAAUAAUUAAAACAUAGGCCUACAAGAGAUACACAACUGAUAUACAGAAAAUGUUAGCAGUACUAUCAGCAGAGAGGCUCUAUUUACAGCGGCUCUAUUUACAGCAGAUUCCGUGGCCCCAUUUUAGUAUGGAUGCGCACUUAUUACCUUAUGCACCAUGUCGAAUCCCGAUCAUAGUUGAUUAGGUCUGAAAUGUAAUUUACGGUGGGUGUAACCAUGAUGGGAUACGGUGCGCAGAUCAAAGACGCCAGUAUGGAUUUUUUGGUGAUACAGGCUUGGGCUGGGGUUGUAGGUCUACCCUUUUAUGCAUUAUGACUGUAUCCUGUAUGAUGU